GGGCAACGAGCUCACUCCCAACCCCUGUGACAUACCAAUUGUUGCCUCGGCGGAUCAGCCCGCUCCCGGUAAAACGGGACGGCCCGCCAGAGGACCCCUAAACUCUGUUUCUAUAUGUAACUUCUGAGUAAAACCAUAAAUAAAUCAAAACUUUCAACAACGGAUCUCUUGGUUCUGGCAUCGAUGAAGAACGCAGCAAAAUGCGAUAAGUAAUGUGAAUUGCAGAAUUCAGUGAAUCAUCGAAUCUUUGAACGCACAUUGCGCCCGCCAGUAUUCUGGCGGGCAUGCCUGUUCGAGCGUCAUUUCAACCCUCAAGCCCCCGGGUUUGGUGUUGGGGAUCGGCGAGCCCUUGCGGCAAGCCGGCCCCGAAAUCUAGUGGCGGUCUCGCUGCAGCUUCCAUUGCGUAGUAGUAAAACCCUCGCAACUGGUACGCGGCGCGGCCAAGCCGUUAAACCCCCAACUUCUGAAUGUUGACCUCGGAUCAGGUAGGAAUACCCGCUGAACUUAAGCAUAUCAAACGCGGGAGGAGAA
rnacentral:rRNA from 1 species